UUAAGCGACUAAGCGUACACGGUGGAUGCCCUGGCAGUCAGAGGCGAUGAAGGACGUGCUAAUCUGCGAAAAGCGCCGGCGAGGUGAUAUGAACCCUUGACCCGGCGAUGUCCGAAUGGGGAAACCCAGUGCAAUCCGUUGCACUAUCGUUAACUGAAUACAUAGGUUAACGAGGCGAACCGGGGGAACUGAAACAUCUAAGUACCCCGAGGAAAAGAAAUCAACCGAGAUUCCCCCAGUAGCGGCGAGCGAACGGGGAGCAGCCCGGAGUCUGAAUCAGCUUGUGUGUUAGUGGAACGGUCUGGAAAGUCCGACGGUACAGGGUGAUAGUCCCGUACACGAAAGCACACUUGCUGUGAACUCGAAGAGUAGGGCGGGACACGUGGUAUCCUGUCUGAAUAUGGGGGGACCAUCCUCCAAGGCUAAAUACUCCUGACUGACCGAUAGUGAACCAGUACCGUGAGGGAAAGGCGAAAAGAACCCCGGCGAGGGGAGUGAAAAAGAACCUGAAACCGUGUACGUACAAGCAGUGGGAGCCUCUUUAUGGGGUGACUGCGUACCUUUUGUAUAAUGGGUCAGCGACUUAUAUUCUGUAGCAAGGUUAACCGUAUAGGGGAGCCGAAGGGAAACCGAGUCUUAACUGGGCGUUAAGUUGCAGGGUAUAGACCCGAAACCCGGUGAUCUAGCCAUGGGCAGGUUGAAGGUUGGGUAACACUAACUGGAGGACCGAACCGACUAAUGUUGAAAAAUUAGCGGAUGACCUGUGGCUGGGGGUGAAAGGCCAAUCAAACCGGGAGAUAGCUGGUUCUCCCCGAAAGCUAUUUAGGUAGCGCCUCGUGAACUCAUCUUCGGGGGUAGAGCACUGUUUCGGCUAGGGGGCCAUCCCGGCUUACCAACCCGAUGCAAACUACGAAUACCGAAGAAUGUUAUCACGGGAGACACACGGCGGGUGCUAACGUCCGUCGUGAAGAGGGAAACAACCCAGACCGCCAGCUAAGGUCCCAAAGUCAUGGUUAAGUGGGAAACGAUGUGGGAAGGCACAGACAGCCAGGAUGUUGGCUUAGAAGCAGCCAUCAUUUAAAGAAAGCGUAAUAGCUCACUGGUCGAGUCGGCCUGCGCGGAAGAUGUAACGGGGCUAAACCAUGCACCGAAGCUGCGGCAGCGACGCUUAUGCGUUGUUGGGUAGGGGAGCGUUCUGUAAGCCGUUGAAGGUGUGCUGUGAGGCAUGCUGGAGGUAUCAGAAGUGCGAAUGCUGACAUAAGUAACGAUAAAGCGGGUGAAAAGCCCGCUCGCCGGAAGACCAAGGGUUCCUGUCCAACGUUAAUCGGGGCAGGGUGAGUCGACCCCUAAGGCGAGGCCGAAAGGCGUAGUCGAUGGGAAACAGGUUAAUAUUCCUGUACUUGGUGUUACUGCGAAGGGGGGACGGAGAAGGCUAUGUCAGCCGGGCGACGGUUGUCCCGGUUUAAGCAUGUAGGCGGAGGUUCCAGGUAAAUCCGGUACCUUAUUAACGCUGAGGUGUGAUGACGAGGCACUACGGUGCUGAAGUGAUAAAUGCCCUGCUUCCAGGAAAAGCCUCUAAGCAUCAGGUAACACGAAAUCGUACCCCAAACCGACACAGGUGGUCAGGUAGAGAAUACCAAGGCGCUUGAGAGAACUCGGGUGAAGGAACUAGGCAAAAUGGUGCCGUAACUUCGGGAGAAGGCACGCUGAUGUGUAGGUGAAGUCCCUGCGGACGGAGCUGAAAUCAGUCGAAGAUACCAGCUGGCUGCAACUGUUUAUUAAAAACACAGCACUGUGCAAACACGAAAGUGGACGUAUACGGUGUGACGCCUGCCCGGUGCCGGAAGGUUAAUUGAUGGGGUUAGCGGCAACGCGAAGCUCUUGAUCGAAGCCCCGGUAAACGGCGGCCGUAACUAUAACGGUCCUAAGGUAGCGAAAUUCCUUGUCGGGUAAGUUCCGACCUGCACGAAUGGCGUAAUGAUGGCCAGGCUGUCUCCACCCGAGACUCAGUGAAAUUGAACUCGCUGUGAAGAUGCAGUGUACCCGCGGCAAGACGGAAAGACCCCGUGAACCUUUACUAUAGCUUGACACUGAACACUGGUCCUUGAUGUGUAGGAUAGGUGGGAGGCUUUGAAGCGUGGACGCCAGUCUGCGUGGAGCCAACCUUGAAAUACCACCCUUUAAUGGCUGGUGUUCUAACGUAGACCCGUAAUCCGGGUUGCGGACAGUGUCUGGUGGGUAGUUUGACUGGGGCGGUCUCCUCCCAAAGAGUAACGGAGGAGCACGAAGGUUGGCUAAUCCUGGUCGGACAUCAGGAGGUUAGUGCAAUGGCAUAAGCCAGCUUGACUGCGAGCGUGACGGCGCGAGCAGGUGCGAAAGCAGGUCAUAGUGAUCCGGUGGUUCUGAAUGGAAGGGCCAUCGCUCAACGGAUAAAAGGUACUCCGGGGAUAACAGGCUGAUACCGCCCAAGAGUUCAUAUCGACGGCGGUGUUUGGCACCUCGAUGUCGGCUCAUCACAUCCUGGGGCUGAAGUAGGUCCCAAGGGUAUGGCUGUUCGCCAUUUAAAGUGGUACGCGAGCUGGGUUUAGAACGUCGUGAGACAGUUCGGUCCCUAUCUGCCGUGGGCGCUGGAGAAUUGAGGGGGGCUGCUCCUAGUACGAGAGGACCGGAGUGGACGCAUCACUGGUGUUCGGGUUGUCAUGCCAAUGGCACUGCCCGGUAGCUAAAUGCGGAAGAGAUAAGUGCUGAAAGCAUCUAAGCACGAAACUUGCCCCGAGAUGAGUUCUCCCUGAGACUUUAAGUCUCCUGAAGGAACGUUGAAGACGACGACGUUGAUAGGUCGGGUGUGUAAGCGCAGCGAUGCGUUGAGCUAACCGAUACUAAUGAACCGUGAGGCUUAACCU
rnacentral:rRNA from 1 species